AUUUAUAUAGUUUAAAAAAAACAUUACAUUUUCAUUGUAAAAUUAAAAAAAUUUUUUUUUAUAAAUU
rnacentral:tRNA from 1 species